rnacentral:lncRNA from 1 species
UGUGCCUCCAUAAGCCUCUCAUUCCAAAACAUGGAGGCAAAGACAUGUGUGUCUCUUUGAGCUAGCCAGGGCUGCUGAGUAAAAACCCUGUCCAAAGAAGGAGGGUGGAGGGAGGCGGGCAGAACAUGAGCAAUAAAAUAGAAGAAAGAAAGAAAGAAAGAAAGAAAGAAAGAAAAUUCAGAAGUAGGACCCACACAGGGUGGGAAAGAUUUCCUUUCUUAUUUUGUUUUGUUGGAGACAAAGUCUCAGUAUAUAGUAGCCCCACCUGGCCUAGACCGUACCUGGACCAGUCAGUCUGAACAAUCCUCUGCUUCUUCCGAGUGCUGGGAAUGUAGAGAUGCACCACCAUGCCAGGUGAUAAAGAAUUUUUUUUCAACCCAUGCAGUUAAACCUGGGGUGUUCUUUCCUUCGUGCUUUCCCACUCUUUGGG